CUUGCAGGAGCAGAAUCUGGCAGAACAAAACUUCAUAUUCUCACUGCUUCUGAAAAUAAAAGCUCCACAAAAGUUAUGUUUGUACCGCUCUCCCCAGCCCCCAUGCGGACAGA